GCCAUUCCGCGUGCAGGAUGAAGGCCCUCGGGUUGUAAACUGCUUUUGUACGGAACGAAAAGGUCUCUCCUAAUACGAGAGGCUCAUGACGGUACCGUAAGAAUAAGCACCGGCUAACUACGUGCCAGCAGCCGCGGUAAUACGUAGGGUGCAAGCGUUAAUCGGAAUUACUGGGCGUAAAGCGUGCGCAGGCGGUUAUAUAAGACAGAUGUGAAAUCCCCGGGCUCAACCUGG
rnacentral:rRNA from 1 species